rnacentral:misc_RNA from 1 species
AAUAGCUACUAAAGACAUAAAUUUCCUCUUCCUAACACAUACAACCAUCCACAAUAUUACCCAAGAACAAAAUUUCAAAAGUCAAUUAUAUGUCCAAACAUAAUCUAUAAAAGAUGAAUGACAAAACAAACUCCAAAUACAACAUUAUAAAUAAAGAAAACAAAGUUUCCCCUCUUUGGAUUGUACCUAAAACCUGCCUGCAUACUUCCUAUAGAAGAUCAGAUCCACGCAACUCUUAGUUUAUUCAUAAAGGACACUUGUACUUAUACUUUCUAAAUACAAUUCCUAUUACAGAACUUUGAAAAUUCCCUAAUUCUGCCAAAAAUUCGAUGGCAUUUUCCUUGAAAAAUUGAACAUUUCCUCGGUAAAAACAACCA